rnacentral:lncRNA from 1 species
UCGGGUAUAAAGAGCUCGUCGGGCCGGAUCGGAGGUCCGGCCCUACGCAAAACAAGCCAGCGUGCUUCGGAGGACGAGAGAGUCAUCGUGUAGCCAGCGGCCAAGACAAGUCACAGCCAACUUUUUCGCUUUCCUUGACGUCCCGUAGCCGUCGUCGACGCCUGACGUGUUAACCUGCUGACCGGAGCCUGCCGUCGACGCUGAGAGAAGGAAAAGUUCUCUGGACUCUUUACCUGAAACCGAACGUUUCCCAAACCGGCCGGUCCGCCCUUCUCUGCACCCGACCUCCAAAAACUUUUGGCCGGUCAAUCCACACUCA